CCGGUGUGUGCUGGGCGCAGGGAAGACACAGCGCCGCGGGCCGUGGGGAACGGACGCACUGAUUUGCUCCCUUACCCUCAGCAACCCCCCCACCCAGCACCAGGAGCCUGUCCCUCCCACAUCCUCACUUGGCUGAGCCGCAGUAGUUCUUCAGUGGCAAGCUUUAUGUCCUGACCCAGCUAAAGCUGCCAGUUGAAGAACUGUUGCCCUCUGCCACUGGCUUCAAGGAGGAGGAGGAAGAAGAGAAGGAGCUGCUUUCCCCUUCAUCUGGAAGGUGACAGAGCUGGGGCUGGGAAGGUCCGAACAGUGGGAGUGAUGAUACCUUUUGGGAGAGGGAACCUGGUCAGUUAGAGAGCCUUCAGCCAGACUGGCCCAGCAAGAGACAACAAUUUUAGAUUAGAGACCCUGGUUGGUUUGGGGAAUAGAUGGCUGUGACCAAGCAAGGUUAGUUGGUCUACACUGCUGUGACAAGAGGAAGAUAACAGGAGCAAAGAAAAUUGCCUACCCCUUUACCCAGAUGUCUUUCUUGGCCCUCCUUCCUUGUUUCCCUUUCUUUCCUACUGCCUUUCCAGGUGAGGUCCAAAGUAAAUUUCUUCAGGGAAGAGGUCAUACUGAAACUCCCAUGUGAGUAGUCAUCCCCAUGCUCUUACCUUUCCGUCUAUUUCCUUAGACUGGCCCAGACUCUAGAUUUGGUGAUAAUCACCUAUAUGUGGGACUUGUUAGACCUCUUGUCUCGGCUUCUCCACCUGUGAGAUGGGGAAUCACACAAUUGAGUGUGCAGGAGGGAAUCAGAAGCCUACUUCUGUGAACUGCUCAGAGCCUGGGCUCUUCUCUCCCUGUGGGUGGGAACAGAACAGCUUUCCACAUAAGCUAUUGCCCCUCCCCCCUUCCCUGAACACCAUGACCCAAGGAGGGUGGGGGAGAGGAUUAGAAAGGGGGUGUAGGGUUAUACCAGUGCAGGGGACCAGGAGGAGCUCAUUCUUUCCAUUGACAUCCCACCAUGCAAAGGUGGCCCCAGGCUUCCUCUGCCACCCAAAACAGGACUGCAGCCCCUGAUAGGGUUCCAACUGCUGUUCUGUUUCUUCCUCACUUUACCUUCCAGGAUAGUUUGUGAGACUGCUCAGGCUUGUGCAGGCAGGAAAUUCCCUCCAACAACCAGGAGAGGUGAACUGUGGGAUGUGAUGCCCUUUGGAACAUCAAGCAGUAUAAGCCUACCACCCUCACCCCAGCUCCUGAUGCAGUCUAACUCUUGGGGCUCAGUUCCGGCGUGGUUCAACCAUGGCCCAGAUGCCCUACCUGAAGGUGGCCAAAUUCAGCGGCUAGAGGGAGCUGUCCUGUCAUGGGGCAGGAGGUGUGGAGAUAGCAGGGUCCUAGUCUCCAUUAAUGAGAAACAGAUUUAGGGGAGAGUAGAUCAUCGAAUCCACCCUCCUGCAGCCUAAGCUGCAGGAGGUGUAUGUGGGACUGCAGUGGCGGGUGUGGGUAGACUGAGUCAAUUCAGAGUCUGCAACAAAGAUUGCUCUGUCCCUGGACAUUGCUUCCAUCCUUUCUUCCCCUCCCCGCCUCACUGGCCACAGUGUCUCUGUCCAGCCCUGGUUCUAGGGCUCUGCCAUCCUUACCCAUCCUGACCCAUCGUGAAGUAAAGAUGAGGAAGAACAGCCUGGGAACACAGAGGUAGGCAGAAGACCAGUGAAGGACCAGGCCUAGAGAGCACAGGGCCCUGUCUGGGCACCCCUCAGAGGGGACCCAUAAAGGGCAGAAACACCCUAGGAGGAGGAAGGACAGCCAGCCUCCUUCAAGGAUAAGCUCCCAGCCAUCUGCCUCAUUCACUAUUUCUCUCCAUUGUACUUACUGCCUCCCUCAGAGAUAGGAGACUGUAUCACAGUGUCCUGUGGCUUCAUUCUCCUACUUCUACCUCCUUACCUUUUAAUUUUUAUAUAAAGUGGACUCAAGGAGCAAGAACCAGCUGUGAAAGGACAUAAGUAGGAAAUUCAGAGAAGAAAUUCAAAUGGAUAAAACCAUGAAAAACAAUGUGUUUCAUUAGUAAUUAAAGAAAGACAAAUAUAGCCGAAAGCAUUUUUCCCUCAGCAAACUAUAUUAAAAAAAAAAAAAAAAGAACCAGCGUUGGCAAAGAAAUAAGAAAAUAACACUCCCAUACAUUGCCUGUAGCGGGGGCCAAUUGGUACAGCCUUCCUGACCGUUGGUGAUAGGUCUCAAAUACUCUAAAAGUUUCCAUCGCCUUAGACCUAGUAAUUGUACAUUUGGGAAUUUAUCCUAAGAAAAUAAUGAAAGAUUUAGUCACAAGAUGCUCAUCCGAGUAUUGCAGUAGAGAAAAUGAGAAGCAACUGUCUGAUUGGGAAUUCAUUUCUUUUCUGCUGUAAUAAAAAUUUGCAAUGGGGGAUUCCUUAAGUAAAUCAUUGUAUAUCCAUCCAGAUGGUGGAGUACUGCACAGCCAUUAAAAGUCAUGUAGAAGAACAUUUGGAAAGAAAAAUGCUCUUUGAAUAUUAAAAAUGUUAUAAAAAUA